AAAACUGACACAGAGAUGGCUGCUGGCACUGCGCUGCUCUGCUGCACUUUGCUGUUUGUCCUUGUCUUCGUCUCUGCAGACCAUAAAUUCAUCACAGCUGAGUCUGGACAGGACGUCACUCUGACAUGUCGAGCUCCAAACAACAACAUCAAAUUUUUAAAGUGGACAAAAGCUUACCUGCAGUCAGAAGUUGUCAUUUUGCACUGGGAUGGUCACUUUGAUCCAUUUUAUCAGCAUCCAUCUUUUAAGAACCGGGUGGAUCUGCAGGACAGACAGAAUGUGACGAUUAAUGACAUACGAGUGUUGAGCUGAUGUGAGAGAAACACGCUUAUGGGAUCUCAGCAGCAUCUACCUGAGUGUUGUUGAUCCUCCAGAGAAACACACCACCACACCUCCACCUACAUUGAGCAGCUCACCUCCACCUACAUCCACACCUCCACCUGGUUCCACCUCCAUCACUCUUCCUCUAUCACUCUCUACUCCUCUC